UAACAUGUUUAGGGUAGUGGGU
rnacentral:piRNA from 1 species